AUUGAACGCUGGCGGCAAGCCUAACACAUGCAAGUCGAACGAGUGGCGGACGGGUGAGUAAUGUCUGGGAAACUGCCUGAUGGAGGGGGAUAACUACUGGAAACGGUAGCUAAUACCGCAUACCAUCGGAUGUGCCCAGAUGGGAUUAGCUAGUAGGUGGGGUAAAGGCUCACCUAGGCGACGAUCCCUAGCUGGUGUGAGAGGAUGACGAGCCAGACUGGGACUGAGACCAGGUCCAAACUCCUACGGGAGGCUGCGGUGGGGAAUGGUGCACAUUGGGCGCAAGGCUGAAACAGCCAGGCCGCGUGGAUGAAUAAGGCCGUCGGGUUGUAAAGUACUUUCAGGGGGGAGGCGUUACCCGAAGAAGAAGCACCGGCUAACUCCGGACCAGCAGCCGCGGUAAUUC
rnacentral:rRNA from 1 species